GCAAAAAUGAACUGAGUUUAGCUUCGAAAGAUAUAUGAACAGUCUGUCACGUUUUAAGUUACCAUUAUUGCAGCAUCUCUUGAACUUUCCUAUUCCCACUAAAAACUGGACAUGAAGCACUGCUCAUCAGUUUCCUUGGAAAAUGCUGGAGAACUGUGUUAAAAUGUAGUAUACUUACCUGUAGGUUAUGAAGGAAGAAAAAGAAAACAUUGAAGAGUUUUUGUGCAACAGAUAUAAAGAAAAGGGUAAUCUAUUGAGAGUAAUGCAUUUAAUAUCUAACCUCUGACUAAUGUUACAUGCAAUGUAGUUACAACUAGAAUUACACGA